CAAGUAUUCCUCCGUCCAACAAAAGAUGUCUCAAAUUUGUCAAAAUUUGGAUGUAUCUAGACAUGAUUUAGUGUAUAGAUGCAUUCAAAUUUAGUUAAAGUUGUGACAUCCUUCGUUGGACGGGGGGAGUACAUA
rfam:Brachypodium distachyon strain Bd21 chromosome 4, whole genome shotgun sequence.